rnacentral:rRNA from 1 species
GACGAACGCUGGCGGCGUGCUUAACACAUGCAAGUCGAGCGAUGAAGUUCCUUCGGGAAUGGAUUAGCGGCGGACGGGUGAGUAACACGUGGGUAACCUGCCUCAUAGAGGGGAAUAGCCUUUCGAAAGGAAGAUUAAUACCGCAUAAGAUUGUAGCUUCGCAUGAAGUAGCAAUUAAAGGAGUAAUCCGCUAUGAGAUGGACCCGCGUCGCAUUAGCUAGUUGGUGAGGUAACGGCUCACCAAGGCGACGAUGCGUAGCCGACCUGAGAGGGUGAUCGGCCACAUUGGGACUGCGACACGGCCCAGACUCCUACGGGAGGCAGCAGUGGGGAAUAUUGCACAAUGGGGGAAACCCUGAUGCAGCAACGCCGCGUGAGUGAUGACGGUCUUCGGAUUGUAAAGCUCUGUCUUCAGGGACGAUAAUGACGGUACCUGAGGAGGAAGCCACGGCUAACUACGUGCCAGCCGCCGCCGUAA